GAUCCUGGCUCAGGACGAACGCUGGCGGCGUGCCUAAUACAUGCAAGUAGAACGCUGAAGGAGGAGCUUGCUUCUCUGGAUGAGUUGCGAACGGGUGAGUAACGCGUAGGUAGCCUGCCUGGUAGGCGGGGGAUAACUAUUGGAAACGAUAGCUAAUACCGCAUAAGAGUAGAUGUUGCAUGACAUUUGACUUAAAAGGUGCAAUUGCAUCACUACCAGAUGG
rnacentral:rRNA from 1 species